AUUGAACGCUGGCGGCAGGCCUAACACAUGUAAGUCGAGCGGCAGCGGGAAAGUAGCUUGCUACUUUUGCCGGCGAGCGGCGGACGGGUGAGUAAUGCCUGGGAAAUUGCCCAGUCGAGGGGGAUAACAGUUGGAAACGACUGCUAAUACCGCAUACGCCCUACGGGGGAAAGCAGGGGACCUUCGGGCCUUGCGCGAUUGGAUAUGCCCAGGGGGGAUUAGCUAGUUGGUGAGGUAAUGGCUCACCAAGGCGACGAUCCCUAGCUGGUCUGAGAGGAGGAGCAGCCACACUGGAACUGGGAAACGGUCCAGACUCCUACGGGAGGCAGCAGUGGGGAAUCUUGCGCAAUGGACGAAAGUCUGACGCAGCCACGCCGCGUGAGUGAAGAAGGCCUUCGGGUUGUAAAGCUCUGUCGUCCGGGACGAAAAUGGAGUGGGUGAAUAGCCCAUUUCACUGACGGUACCGGAAAAGGAAGCACCGGCUAACCCCGUGCCAGCCGCCGCGGUAACAC
rnacentral:rRNA from 1 species